rnacentral:rRNA from 1 species
CGGUCCCUACGGGGCGCAGCAGUGGGGAAUAUUGCACAAUGGGCGAAAGCCUGAUGCAGCAACGCCGCGUGAAGGAAGAAGGGUUUCGGCUCGUAAACUUCUAUUAACAGGGACGAAAGAAAUGACGGUACCUGAAUAAGAAGCCCCGGCUAACUACGUGCCAGCAGCCGGGGUAAUACGUAGGGGGCAAGCGUUAUCCGGAAUUACUGGGAGUAAAGGGGGAGUAGGCGGAAUGGUAAGCCAGAUGUGAAAGCCUUGGGCUUAACCCGAGGA